AGUUCUUGAAAUAGCCAAUUUGAUGAGAGUCUUUGGGAGAGCUCCUGCAAAAAGGUCCUUCUUUUGAUGAGUCUUAUUACUGUACUGUUUAUAAAAACAUAUUUUUAAGAAAUUAAAAAAAAAAUGGUACAAAGAAAAAAGAGUGGUGGACAAAAUAAUUGCCCCAAAAUAUUAGGGUAUCCUGCAUCUUUUGAACGUUAGGGUACCCUACAUGAAAUGGGGCAGUGAAGAGUUUGAAGUUUCAAGUGUGUUUGUGGUGAGUGCUUGUUGGUUGAAAGUGGUGGAACAACCAUUUUGCCUUGUAUAGUUAAACUGUUUCUUAUAAUGCGAAUUAAUACUUGUUUAAAGAUAAUUAAUUAAGAUGUUCAGUUUU
rnacentral:misc_RNA from 1 species